AUAAUAAGAACCUGUAACCCUAGGCAGGGAGGCGAGGGGGUAAUAUCACUUGCCCAAGGUGAACUCCCAGACAAGCGGAGGGAAGGAGGUGUCUUACUUCUCCAUUCUAGACUGGCUCCAAGCAAAGUCUAGCCGCUGCCCAAAAAUUAUCCAUUUGACGAUGACUUAUUAAAAUGUUCCUCGUUGACAAAACGCUCAUACGAAAUCGGAGAAGAAAUUCUCAUGCUAAACCAACCAAGUUUGUUCUUCCUAGAAGUUUAAAAAC